UGUUGCCUCGGCCGGGUAGCUCUUGCCCCGGGCGCGUCGCAGCCCCGGAUCCCAUGGCGCCCGCCGGAGGACCAACUCCAAACUCUUUUUUUCUCUCCGUCGCGGCUCCCGUCGCGGCUCUGUUUUAUUUUUGCUCUGAGCCUUUCUCGGCGACCCUAGCGGGCGUCUCGAAAAUGAAUCAAAACUUUCAACAACGGAUCUCUUGGUUCUGGCAUCGAUGAAGAACGCAGCGAAAUGCGAUAAGUAAUGUGAAUUGCAGAAUUCAGUGAAUCAUCGAAUCUUUGAACGCACAUUGCGCCCGCCAGUAUUCUGGCGGGCAUGCCUGUCCGAGCGUCAUUUCAACCCUCGAACCCCUCCGGGGGGUCGGCGUUGGGGAUCGGCCCCUCACCGGGCCGCCCCCGAAAUACAGUGGCGGUCUCGCCGCAGCCUCUCCUGCGCAGUAGUUUGCACACUCGCACCGGGAGCGCGGCGCGGCCACAGCCGUAAAACACCCCAAA
rnacentral:rRNA from 1 species